UGCUGGCAUUGUGGUGCUCAGCUUCUCCCCCUCCAUUUCCCAGGCUCCAGAGACUAAUCCUUCCUUCAGCUGGUUUUGCUGCUGCUAUGGCAAUAUUUUCUCCCCCAUAGUGGUAAUCAUGCAAUGGUCUCUGAGAACAGCAGGAGAAGCGGUGCCUGUUAGAUGCAUAAAAGUCACAGGAGCUGGGAUGUUAGGGGAGAAGCUGGUGUAUGGUCCCUGUUCUCUGGGGAUGCAGUUCCCGCCUCUUUGGGUACCUCUGCCUGGUGCCUCCCAGCUCUGCUGUCACCUGCUCCGGGCAUUCAUGGAGGAGCUACCCUUGCUUCCAAGGCUGCAUCUAAGAGCUUGUGACUCUGCUUACCUUUUGAAAGAGAAAAGGAAACCCCAGCGGGAGCUGGUGCAAGGCAGGGGCAGGUCUGUGUGAAGAGUGAUGAAGUAUAUGGAUGCUCAGAAGGCUCCGGAUCAGGGUAAGAAGUGCUCGUGGAAUUAUCCUUUGAAAUGUACACUCUCUGCAGGGAGGCCCCGGGGAUCAUCCUUGCUGGAGGAGAU